rnacentral:rRNA from 1 species
UAGUCCACGCCGUAAACGAUGGAUACUAGCUGUCCGGUCUUCGGACUGGGCGGCCAAGCGAAAGUGAUAAGUAUCCCACCUGGGGAGUACGUUCGCAAGAAUGAAACUCAAAGGAAUUGACGGGGGCCCGCACAAGCGGUGGAGGAUGUGGCUUAAUUCGAGGCUACGCGAAGAACCUUACCUAGGCUUAACAUGUUUGGGAACGCCUGUGAAAGCAGGAAGUGCCUUUCGGGGAACCCUUACGUAGGUGCUGCAUGGCUGUCGUCAGCUCGUGUCGUGAGAUGUCGGGUUAAGUCCCUUAACGAGCGAAACCCUUGUCACUAGUUGCCAGCGAGUAAUGUCGGGGACUCUAGUGAGACUGCCGGUGUUAAACCGGAGGAAGGUGGGGAUGACGUCAAGUCCUCAUGGCCUUUAUGCCUAGGGCUGCACACGUCCUACAAUGCACUAUACAAAGCGUUGCGAACUCGCGAGAGUAAGCUAACCGCAUAAAGUAGUGCCCAGUUCGGAUAGCAGGCUGAAAUUCG